CGUUGAUUUGUGAUGGAUUGUAAACAAUAUUAUUUAGUUUGAUCAAUAACUGAAAAAAAAUUUAGUCCACAUUAAAUUUUAAAAUUGAAGUUGCAUGUUUUUAAGUUUAACUAUUCAUUCAUAAAAAAAAAAAAAAAACUCCAGUACGUGGUUUUCACUAUUUUGGAGAUAAUUUAUCAGUUCUUCUUCUUUAUUUUUGUUUUUUUAGAGGCCCCC
rnacentral:lncRNA from 1 species